CAUUAUUCCUUGUGUUGGCUCAGUGACUUACGUAUUCUGUAAUCUGUAUAUAAACACUUUCCCUUAAUGAAAUAUAUGAUUGAACAUUCAGUCUCUACAUGGUAUCAGAGCCCUCUUUGCUCUAACGAGUGUUCUUCCUUUCUUUCCUGGUUGCUCUAACUGCUCCGACGAGCGUUCUUGAUUCUUGAUUCUUGAAUUCAUGGCUUCUGCCUCAUCUCCUUCUGCAACUAGUUCGAUCGCCAAUGGCAUCUCUGCUUCCCUGUCUCUCGUUGCUCCGAAUGUCUCUCCGCACCUUCCUCUCCGGCUUAAUUCUACAAAUUACCUUCUCUGGCAGGCGCAAUUUCUUCCUUUACUUCGAGGAUAUAACCUGAUCGGCUAUGUUGAUGGUUCCUUCAUGCGACCUGCGAUUCCUCAUCUUGCAUUUGAGAAUGCUGAAAUCGUUGUUACUGCCUCUUCUACUGCCGCUCUCUGGGAUCGGCAAGAUCAGCUGAUUCUCAGCUGGAUCGUGUCUUCUUUGUCUGAAUCUGCACUCUCGCAUGUAGUUAAUGCCUCCAUUGCUCAACAUGCUUGGGAGAUUCUUGCUUGUGUGUUUCCUCCCUCCUCUAGGACACGUGUGAUGGAUCUUAAAGAUCGUCUUUCUCGGCUUCAGAGAGGUUCCGAUUCCAUCACUGACCAUCUCCUCCACAUCUGAUGUACUGUUGAUACUCUCGCCGCCAUAGAUCAACCUGUUCCUGAUGACGAUUUGGUGCUUGCUGCUCUCCGAGGUAUGGGCCGAAAUACCAUGAUUUUGCCACUUUUGUACGCCUUUGCGCUGAGUCUGUUACGUUUGUUAAGCUGGUUGAUCGCUUACUUAGCCAUGAAAGCUUCCUUCGUUUAGUCUCUGAUGAUGUAACUGGUUCCAUUACAACUGCAAACAUGGCGUCUGUGCGAUUUGAAAAUCAGUCGCGAUCUGCUAAUGGUAACCGGUGUUCUUUCAAUCGAUAUUCCUCUGUCAGCGUGGCAAUCGCUGUCAACGCAAUGGUCAAGGGUCCUAUCAGUAUGCUGAUCAGAACUCUAAUUCUGGACAGCGCCAACGCCAUGGUCAAGGUUACACAUCUGGUAAGUACAAUGGUCCUCAGGAAUCCAUUCUUGGGGCACCUCCUACAGGUUCACGUUCCCCUGCCUUCUCGCCUCAUCAACGCCUUUGCUGCCAAAUCUGUAACCAAGAAGGACAUGUGGCUUCUCACUGUCCUCGGAGAUUUAACCAUGCCUUUCUUGGUAUGCUUUGUUUUUCUUCCACUUCCUCCUUUCUCCCUUCUUCCUUUUCUUGGUUACUUGACUCAAUUACUGCAGAUAUAAGCAAUCUUGCUCUCAGUGCUCCCUUUUCUGGCCCUGAACAAAUUAUUGUUGGGAACGGUCAAGGUUUGCCCAUCACUCACUCUGGAUCUACAAUUAUUUCUUCUCCUGUGCAUGAUUUCCAUCUUUCCAAUGUUCUCUGUGUUCCUCAGAUUCAUCGAAAUCUGAUUUCUGUCAAUAAUUUUUGUCUAGAUAACAAUACUUAUUUUGAAUUCUUUCCCUCUUUCUUUUGUAUCAAGGAUCAGAGGACGGGACAGAUUCUCUUUAAAGGCCAGAGUAAUAAUGGACUCUAUGAGCUUCCAUUUCAUUCUCGUCUGCCUUCUCAAUGUAACUCUGCUAUCCGUGCUCCUCUCAGUGACUGGCAUCACCGCAUGGGACACCCUUCUUACAAAGUCGUCCGUAGAAUCAUUUCUCAGUUUUCCCUUCCUGUUUCUAGUACUAAGCAUUCUUUCUGUGAUGCUUGCAAUUGCUCCAAGAACCAUCGACUUCCUUUUGAUGUAUCUUCUUCUCUUAGUUCUGCUCCAUUGGAGCUUUUGCAUUGUGACAUUUGGGGUCCAGCUCCUAUAGUAUCUGUAGAUAAAUUUCAAUACUAUGUGAGUUUCAUUGAUGAUUUUAGUAAAUACACUUGGCUGUAUCCUAUUUUGAGAAAAUCUGAUGUUCUUCCUAUGUUUACUCAAUUCAAGACCUUGGUUUAGACUUAUUUUUCACGUUCCAUUAAAUGCUUGCAAUCUGAUGGUGGGGGGGAAUUUCAGAAACUUGAUCCUUUUUUGGCUAGUCAUGGCAUUUCUCGAAGGAUAUCCUGUCCUCAUACCCAAGCUCAAAAUGGUGCCGCUGAACGAAAGCACAGACACAUAGUUGAGACAGGCUUAGCUCUUCUGUUUCAUUCUAAUCUUCCCUCAGUUUAGGUCCUAUACCUUUCUUACUGCCACUUAUCUUAUCAACAGAAUGCAGACUCCUCUUCUUGCCAAUAUUAGUCUAUUGCAGAGACUGUUUACUACCCCUCCCGACUAUCAAAUGCUCAAAACCUUUGGAUGUCUUUGUUACCCCUGGUUACGCCCAUAUAGCCGCAACAAGUUGGAACUCAGGUCUCGACCAUGUCUUUUUCUUGGUUAUUCUCUUAACCAUAAGGCGUAUAAAUGCUUUGAUGUGUCCUCCAAUCGGUUAUACAUCUCAAGACAUGUCUCUUUUGUUGAAUCUGUUUUUCCUUUCUCUGUUUUACCAUUUCAGUGGCCUGAUACACCUAGUUCUGUUGUUGAUUCCUGGUGUGACAUUCGUCCUCCAAUUCUUCUACCAUGCUCUAUUACACCAUUGCCUACCUCUAGUGCUGAUUCCUUGUUGUCUACUGGUGUCAUUUUAGACCAGCCUAUUGAGUCUUCACCUACCUCACCACGGGAUGUAACAAUGUCUAUAGCUCCACCACCAGCUUCAACCUGUGAUCCUGAUUCUUCUAUUUUGCCUUCUUCUAUUGGGUCUAAUUUCUUAUAGCUCACUAACUCUGCUUCCCCACAAUCGCUGGUUGUUCGUCCUCAUCCCAUGCUUACUAGAUCACGAACUGGGGUCCCUCGUAAACCACCCCAGCGGCUCACUCUUACCAAUACAAAACAUCCCAUUUCCUCACCUGUUGAGCGAUCUUGUUAUACUCAGGCUAUUAAGUCCUUUGAAUGGCGUGGGACAAUGAAUGAUGAAUUCACUGCUCUCCUUCAAAAUGGUACCUGGGAUUUGACUCCACCUUCUCCUAAUGAAAAUAUUGUUGGGUGUAAAUGGGUUUUUUGGAUUAAAAGAAAACUGAAUGGCAGCAUAGAGGGCUAUAAGGCUCGUCUUGUAGCUAAGGGCUUUCAUCAACGCCCUAGGGUUGAUUUUAAAGAAACUUUCAGUCCAGUCAUAAAGCCUUCAACUGUUCGUUUGGUCUUAUCGCUUGCUGCUCCGCAUUGUUAGCCGGUAUGCCAAUUAGAUGUACAAAAUGCUUUUCUUCACGGAGAUCUCACUGAGACAGUCUAUAUGAUUCAACCUCCUGGUUUUGUUGAUGAAGCUCAUCCAGAUUAUGUUUGCCAUUUGCGUAAAUCCUUAUAUGGCUUGAAGUAGGCUCCACGAGCCUGGUAUACUCGACUUAGCAAUUUUUUGCUCUCUCAAGGCUUCACUUCUUCGAAGACUGAUGCUUCCUUAUUCAUUUAUAAGAACUGUGGUGUUGUGCUUUACUUCUUGAUAUAUGUUGAUGACCUGUUGUUAACUGGGAAUGAUCCAGUGGCUAUUCGGUCAUUGUUUCACUCUUUAUCCUCUACCUAUGCUAUUAACGACCUUGGAGACCUUUAUUAUUUUUUGGGCAUAGGGGUCACCAAGCACUCUGCUGGUUUACUAUUGACUCAACGAAAAUAUAUUACUGAUCUUCUUCACAGUAGUCACAUGGCUGAGGCAAAGCCAUUUUCAACUCCCAUUGCUGCAGGUCCUUCUCUGAGUCUUCACUCUGGAUUUCCUUUGGAGGAUGGCACAGAGUAUCGACGAGUUGUUGGUGCACUACAGCUUAUUCUGAUGCGGACUGGGCGGGGUGUCCUGAUGAUCGGAGAUCUACCACUGGUCUGGCUGUGUUUUUUGGUCCUAAUCUGAUUACUUGGGGUUCUCACAAACAACGUACAGUCUCUCAGUCUUCCACAGAGGCGGAGUAUAGGUCUGUUACUGCUGCAGCCACUGAGAUAAUUUGGCUACGGUCUCUUCUAUCUGAACUGGGUGUUUUUCUCCCAAACCUCCAGUGAUAUUCUGUGAUAACAUUGGUGCGACUUAUUUGUCGGAAAAUCCGUGUUUCAUGCUCGCAUGAAACAUAUAGAAAUUGAUUUUCAUUUUGUAAGGAAAAUGGUUUCUUCUCAUCAGCUUUUGGUUCGAUUUAUUUCUACAGUAGAUCAGCUUUUCUGACUUGCUUACUAAGGGGCUUUCUUGGCAGCGGUUCCUUUCUCUUAAACGCAAGCUCACAGUGGGUUCUCCUUCCUCACGAGCUUGAGGGGGCCUGUUAGGAAUAGGAUUGUAUUAUGUGUCAUAAUGUCAUUAGUCCUUGUGUUGGUUCAGUGACUUUUGUAUUCUGUAAUCUGUAUAUAAACUCUUUCCCUUAAUGAAAUAUAUGAUUGAACAUUCAGUCUCUACAA